GAUGAAGAACGUAGCGAAAUGCGAUAAGUAGUGUGAAUUGCAGAAUUCAGUGAAUCAUCGAAUCUUUGAACGCACAUUGCGCCCUUUGGUAUUCCUUAGGGCAUGCCUGUUCGAGCGUCAUUUCAACCCUCAAGCCCUGCUUGGUGUUGGGCGUUUGUCCUGCCUCCGCGCGGGACUCGCCUCAAAGACAUUGGCGGCCGGUUUCCCUUUGCAGGCCACGAGCGCAGCACAGCGAGCGCUCUACGUAGACGCGGGGUCGGCGCACCAGAAGCCCUCUUUCUCGAAUUUUGACCUCGGAUCAGGUAGGGAUACCCGCUGAACUUAAGCAUAUCAAUAAGCGGAGGA
rnacentral:misc_RNA from 1 species